rnacentral:rRNA from 1 species
GGGUUGUGAGGUUAAGCGACUAAGCGUACACGGUGGAUGCCCUGGCAGUCAGAGGCGAUGAAGGACGUGCUAAUCUGCGAAAAGCGUCGGUAAGGUGAUAUGAACCGUUAUAACCGGCGAUGUCCGAAUGGGGAAACCCAGUGCAAUUCGUUGCACUAUCGUUAACUGAAUACAUAGGUUAACGAGGCGAACCGGGGGAACUGAAACAUCUAAGUACCCCGAGGAAAAGAAAUCAACCGAGAUUCCCCCAGUAGCGGCGAGCGAACGGGGAGCAGCCCAGAGUCUGAAUCAGCUUGUGUGUUAGUGGAACGGUCUGGAAAGUCCGACGGUACAGGGUGAUAGUCCCGUACACCAAAAUGCACAGGUUGUGAACUCGAAGAGUAGGGCGGGACACGUGGUAUCCUGUCUGAAUAUGGGGGGACCAUCCUCCAAGGCUAAAUACUCCUGACUGACCGAUAGUGAACCAGUACCGUGAGGGAAAGGCGAAAAGAACCCCGGCGAGGGGAGUGAAAAAGAACCUGAAACCGUGUACGUACAAGCAGUGGGAGCACCUUUAGGUGUGACUGCGUACCUUUUGUAUAAUGGGUCAGCGACUUAUAUUCUGUAGCAAGGUUAACCGUAUAGGGGAGCCGCAGGGAAACCGAGUCUUAACUGGGCGUUAAGUUGCAGGGUAUAGACCCGAAACCCGGUGAUCUAGCCAUGGGCAGGUUGAAGGUUGGGUAACACUAACUGGAGGACCGAACCGACUAAUGUUGAAAAAUUAGCGGAUGACUUGUGGCUGGGGGUGAAAGGCCAAUCAAACCGGGAGAUAGCUGGUUCUCCCCGAAAGCUAUUUAGGUAGCGCCUCGUGAACUCAUCUUCGGGGGUAGAGCACUGUUUCGGCUAGGGGGUCAUCCCGACUUACCAACCCGAUGCAAACUACGAAUACCGAAGAAUGUUAUCACGGGAGACACACGGCGGGUGCUAACGUCCGUCGUGAAGAGGGAAACAACCCAGACCGCCAGCUAAGGUCCCAAAGUCAUGGUUAAGUGGGAAACGAUGUGGGAAGGCACAGACAGCCAGGAUGUUGGCUUAGAAGCAGCCAUCAUUUAAAGAAAGCGUAAUAGCUCACUGGUCGAGUCGGCCUGCGCGGAAGAUGUAACGGGGCUAAACCAUGCACCGAAGCUGCGGCAGCGACACGAUGUGUUGUUGGGUAGGGGAGCGUUCUGUAAGCCUGCGAAGGUGACCUGUGAGGGUUGCUGGAGGUAUCAGAAGUGCGAAUGCUGACAUAAGUAACGAUAAAGCGGGUGAAAAGCCCGCUCGCCGGAAGACCAAGGGUUCCUGUCCAACGUUAAUCGGGGCAGGGUGAGUCGACCCCUAAGGCGAGGCCGAAAGGCGUAGUCGAUGGGAAACAGGUUAAUAUUCCUGUACUUGGUGUUACUGCGAAGGGGGGACGGAGAAGGCUAUGUUAGCCGGGCGACGGUUGUCCCGGUUUAAGCAUGUAGGCUGGUUAUCCAGGCAAAUCCGGAUAAUCAAGGCUGAGGUGUGAUGACGAGGCACUACGGUGCUGAAGUAACAAAUGCCCUGCUUCCAGGAAAAGCCUCUAAGCAUCAGGUAACAUCAAAUCGUACCCCAAACCGACACAGGUGGUCAGGUAGAGAAUACCAAGGCGCUUGAGAGAACUCGGGUGAAGGAACUAGGCAAAAUGGUGCCGUAACUUCGGGAGAAGGCACGCUGGUGUGUAGGUGAAGUCCCUGCGGAUGGAGCUGAGACCAGUCGAAGAUACCAGCUGGCUGCAACUGUUUAUUAAAAACACAGCACUGUGCAAACACGAAAGUGGACGUAUACGGUGUGACGCCUGCCCGGUGCCGGAAGGUUAAUUGAUGGGGUUAUCCGUAAGGAGAAGCUCUUGAUCGAAGCCCCGGUAAACGGCGGCCGUAACUAUAACGGUCCUAAGGUAGCGAAAUUCCUUGUCGGGUAAGUUCCGACCUGCACGAAUGGCGUAAUGAUGGCCAGGCUGUCUCCACCCGAGACUCAGUGAAAUUGAACUCGCUGUGAAGAUGCAGUGUACCCGCGGCAAGACGGAAAGACCCCGUGAACCUUUACUAUAGCUUGACACUGAACAUUGAGCCUUGAUGUGUAGGAUAGGUGGGAGGCUUUGAAGCGUGGACGCCAGUCUGCGUGGAGCCAACCUUGAAAUACCACCCUUUAAUGUUUGAUGUUCUAACGUUGGCCCCUUACCGGGGUUGCGGACAGUGUCUGGUGGGUAGUUUGACUGGGGCGGUCUCCUCCCAAAGCGUAACGGAGGAGCACGAAGGUUAGCUAAUCCUGGUCGGACAUCAGGAGGUUAGUGCAAUGGCAUAAGCUAGCUUGACUGCGAGCGUGACGGCGCGAGCAGGUGCGAAAGCAGGUCAUAGUGAUCCGGUGGUUCUGAAUGGAAGGGCCAUCGCUCAACGGAUAAAAGGUACUCCGGGGAUAACAGGCUGAUACCGCCCAAGAGUUCAUAUCGACGGCGGUGUUUGGCACCUCGAUGUCGGCUCAUCACAUCCUGGGGCUGAAGUAGGUCCCAAGGGUAUGGCUGUUCGCCAUUUAAAGUGGUACGCGAGCUGGGUUUAGAACGUCGUGAGACAGUUCGGUCCCUAUCUGCCGUGGGCGCUGGAGAAUUGAGGGGGGCUGCUCCUAGUACGAGAGGACCGGAGUGGACGCAUCACUGGUGUUCGGGUUGUCAUGCCAAUGGCACUGCCCGGUAGCUAAAUGCGGAAGAGAUAAGUGCUGAAAGCAUCUAAGCACGAAACUUGCCCCGAGAUGAGUUCUCCCUGAGACUUUAAGUCUCCUGAAGGAACGUUGAAGACGACGACGUUGAUAGGCCGGGUGUGUAAGCGCAGCGAUGCGUUGAGCUAACCGGUACUAAUGAACCGUGAGGCUUAACCUUACAACGCCGAAG